AAUCUUAUAUUCAAAAUAAAUGAUAUUAAAUUGCAAAUUUAGAGGUAUAAAAACUUAUUAAGAUUU
rnacentral:tRNA from 1 species